GUGAGGGAAAUUAGUUAUUAAACAUUUAAGAGGUUUUAGUUGUGUAUGAAACUUAAAUUUCUCAAAAUGUCUGUUUUCACAGUGACUCUAGAAGCACUUAAAGGUGUUGGUUUUAAAGGAUUUAAUCUACAAGCUCGAGAAAUAGAAGGAGAUGUUCCUGUUGGUACUUUUAAAAUCACAGAUCCAAACACUAAAGGCUUGGGAUGUCAUAAUGUGACGAAUUCAGCAGUAAGUCAUGCAAAUUCAGAUGUGAAGCAGAAAGUUACAACAACAUGGAUCGCUCCACGUGAUGUCAGAGAUCUUCAAUUUAUUGCAACUGUUGUACAAGAUCUAGAGAAAUUUUGGGUUGGAAUUCAAAGCAAAACUCUCACACCUACGCAUUCUGAGUCAGUUAAUGGGACAGGAAAAAGUAAAAGGAGGGUAUGUUUUGAGUGCAUUUUCAUACUAGAAAUUAGUACAAUAAAUUAAAAUAUGUUAGACUUGAUACGAGACAUACAUUUU
ensembl:lncRNA